rnacentral:lncRNA from 1 species
GUAAACAUCUGCUGAAUGAACCAACCAACUUAUUUGCCUACAGAGAUAGAACUUAAAUCAACACAGAGGUCGUGAAUAAACACAAAAUAAAGAUAAGGGGAUAUUAUUGGAAAGACUCAACCAGAAGACUGUCCUAGGAAAAGGUUCACUGCAGAAAUCAGAAGACAAUUUUAUCUCCCACACUAAAACAUGCACCAUCUAACUAGUAGCAAGUGUCCACAAUAACAAAACAAGGUGAAAUGGAACAGCAAGACAAGGAAUUGGAAGAGUAAAGAAAAGUUCAUGAUAGCAAGGGAACGUUAAGACCUUGGAAAAUGGAUGUUUAGGUGAGUGUCCAGCUUCCAAUGGCAUCCAGAGGAGGUAUUCCAAGAGAGAGCUAUUAAAGCAGAUCAGAUGCAAAGUCAGAGGAAAGCACGCUAACCAAAGGCUUUGGCAUCCCUGAGCACAACCAGAACUUUCAAUUAUUGCAAUCAUUUGUGAAUUUAAAAUUUUAUUUAGAAUAGGCCCCAGGUAACUGGGCUUAAUAAUUUUCAUAUAGAAUCAGUAAGAUGAUAAUUAUCGUAGGACAUGAUUUAACAAGAGGAGGAAGAGGGGGAGACCUACAAAGUUCAGGUAUCCUAGAAAAGACCAGAAACUGUCUAGUUUUGUGUUUCACUUACUUGCUGCAUUGAAUACUGGGUGACAAAUGGCAUGCUUGCAUUUCAAAGAGGACAAUCAUGUUGGAAGGAUUCAGAACACAUUUCAUCCAAAUGGCAUUUUAAAAGUAUAAUAAAAGCUGGGCACGGUGGAACAUGCCUGUAAUCCCAGCGGCUUGGGAGGCUGAGACAGAAGGAUCGAGAGUUCAAAGCCAGCCUCAGCAACAGCGAGGCACUAAGCAACUCAGUGAGACUCUGUCUCUAAAUAAAACAUAUAAUAAGGCUGAGGAUCUGACUCAGGGGUUGAGUGCCCCUGAGUUCAAUCCCCAGUAUCAAAAUAAAAUAAAAUAAAAUAAAACCAUAGUAAAAUUUAUUUUUUAAAAUACUACAUUGCCUUUUCAUUUCAAGCAAAAAUGCUGGCUGCUAAUUUCUUCCCUUCAAUUUGUGAUGUUUGACCCAUUUUCUUAUGUCCCCUUUACCAAGAUUGCACAUCAUUCCAAGGACAAAAAAUUGGUUGACAUUCCAUUGGUUCCUGAAGCCACGUCUAUCGGGAAAAGCAUGUCCUGGC